rnacentral:rRNA from 1 species
CAGCAGCCGCGGUAAUACGUAGGUGGCAAGCGUUGUCCGGAUUUAUUGGGCGUAAAGCGAGCGCAGGCGGUCUUUUAAGUCUGAUGUGAAAGCCCCCGGCUUAACCGGGGAGGGUCAUUGGAAACUGGGAGACUUGAGUGCAGAAGAGGAAAGCGGAAUUCCAUGUGUAGCGGUGAAAUGCGUAGAUAUAUGGAGGAACACCAGUGGCGAAGGCGGCUUUCUGGUCUGUAACUGACGC